AGUCAAUUAGUUUAAGAAAAACCUUUGAUUUCGGCUCAAAAACUUGUGGUUAAAGUCCAUAAUUGUCUA
rnacentral:tRNA from 1 species